rnacentral:rRNA from 1 species
CUCGUAGGCGGGAAGGUACGUUUGGAAGUAAAUCUCACGGCUCAACUGUGAGCUCAUUCCAAAUACGGCUUUUCUUGAGGGCAGCAGGGGAGAAUGGAAUUCCCAGUGUAGCGGUGAAAUGCGUAGAUAUUGGGAAGAAUGCCGGUGGCGAAGGCGAUUCUCUGGGCUGUGACUGACGCUGAGGAGCGAAAGCGUGGGUAGCGAACG